GAGAGAGGCUUUCAAAGGGUUUUCCAGACCAAAACGUUCAGCGGCGACAAUGUGGUGUACUGCAACAAAUGUAAAAGGAAAACAGAGGCGACGAGUGUGAGUAGUCAGAAAUGGUAAUAGGAAGUCAAUUCAAGAGUUUACAUGUUUGUUUACAAACGGUCUGUGGUGUCCAAUGAUCGUUCUUGUGUUAUUUAGGGAUGUGAGAUGACGAAGCUCCCUCAGAACUUGAUUCUGCUCCUCAAGAGAUUCGACUUUGAUUACAGCACCAUGUCACACGUCAAAUCUGACCACUGUGUGGAAGUGACAAGCCUACUAAAGGCACAGGCAAGAGGAAGUUACUUUGUGUUUCUAGGGUUUGCGUUGAACUCGUUCCCCUGUUCCUGACUGUGUUCUUCAUCGCAGAAAAAGACGUACAAACUGUAUGGGAUGGUGAAUCACAUGGGUGGUCUAAGUGGUGGACAUUACACAGCCACCAUCCUGUCCAAGAAGGACAAAACCUGGUAUGAGUUUGAUGACGCUCACGUCAGAAAGGUGAGCGAUGAUUUAACUCGUCCACUGGUGACACAGAACUUGAUGUUUACGAUGAAUGACACAUUAUGAUGUGAUUAAAUGUGGCUCUUAAUGGUGCAGGCUGUAGGACAACCGUCUGCUAAGAAGAUUUACAAGUAUGUUCAAUGGAUCCCAUUCUAUCACAUCCAAUUGAAUUUUCUGUUUCUUGAUGACUGAAUGCUGUUAACUUUUUGUUACUCUACAAAUGGUUGUACAUUAGCUCCAGCACUGCAUAUCUACUGGUGUACAGAGGGAAGGACAAAGGGGGACGUUCAAGCGGAAAGAAGAUCAAACCAAGAUUGAAAAUGAUGACACCCGAGAAGAAGCAAAAAGACACAAAGUCUCAGAUGUCUAAAAAGACCAAGCAAGGAGGUGUGACAGGCGAGGCGGGGGAACAAGGGGAUAUCGGUUUCGAAGAACAGAAAGAAGACGAACAGCAAGAAGACAAAGAACAGCAAGAAGACGAACAGCAAGAAGACAAAGAACAGCAAGAAGAUGAACAGCAAGAAGACAAAGAACAGCAAGAAGACGAAGAACAGAAAGAAGAUGAAGAACAUCAAGAAAAUGGCAACGAACGAAACACUGAUGAUGAAGAAACCACACAGAUUGGGCAUGAAGAGGAUGAGGGACAGAUGAGAAAGGAAAGGGAGGAAGAGAGACUUCAGGCUGGAGGAGAUGAAGUCGCAGAAAAUCGAAAGCCUGCUGUGACCUGUUCAGACAAUCUGCCAGAUGUGGAAACAACAAUUCUCUAAGAAAGGAGACGAAGCAGAAAAGGGUAAAUUCUGCUCGAUCCGGCCAGAAUACAAGCUCACAAGAACACAACUUCAGUCUACAGCACACCUUAUGAAAUCUUAAUAAAGGUGCACUAUUCACUUUUGGGGAAGACAGAUUAAUCAGGAGAGAACCUCAACAAUACAGUUUUACUUUGUUUAUAUGUGUAAAUAUAGUAAAUAUAUGUUCAUUUGAUGUUUAUAGUGAGAACAGCUUUUUUAUUCACUUAUGGAAAAAAUAUAUUAACUAUUAACUAUAUGUCUGAGUUUGUAUCAUGACCUCAUUGAUAUUGUGGAUAAAUUCUGAGUUUGAAUUUCUUCAAAACUACAUUGUGCCCCUUUAAUAUAAGGAGGAGGAGAGGUCUGACUUUAGCACUCAUUGUAUCCUGUACAGGUGCAGAAAAUCUAACUAGAUAUCAAAGAAAUCAAGAACAUAAUUAGUGUAUGAACAGACUAUUAUGGAAUUGAGGUGGUUGACCACCAUGUGUAGAUUUGCAUGAAUUUUCCAUGUUCAGUUUGAAAUAAAAACUUGAAACAAACGACUGUCAUAAUGUACAUUACACAACUGUCGUAAAAUCAAAGGCUACACCCAAACAAAAUGAAAAGAACAGAAAAUAUAAUGCUUAUGGCUGUCAGGGGAGGUUUGAGUUAUUUUGUUUUGUUUAAUUCUGAUGAUCUGAUUUUCAUACACACUGAUACACUGUUGGGAUGAUAUUAGAAAUAUAAACCAAUAUUCAUACAAUUCAAAUUACAUUUAUUGUGAUAUUUUUCUUUCAGAUAACAGAAUAUAUGUAGCUAUCUCAUCAUAAAUGUAUAAAGAAGACAGAAGAAAGAUUUACAGUACAUGUCUUUCUGAGUCAUAAUAUCUUUCAUUGUGACAGUUAAUUUAUUUUUUGUCAACUGGUUAUUGAGCGAUAACUUGUUCUCUCUCCUAAACUUUGACACAUAAUCCAGUUAGGGGUCAUUUCAUAUCCGGAUAAGCCAACACAUGAAAAUGCCUUCAACAUUUUUACUCAUAUGUUAUCAGUCGUUUCAACUCCUUUUACUUACAUAUCAUAUUUAUUCGUCUGGUAUAAAAAGUAUAACACAUUUUCUCAUACAAUGUCAAUAACAUGCAAUGGCAUAUUAAAAGUUAACCAAAGCUCCCAGAAGAGUUUUACUUUCAUACUUACCUGUUUUUACCCUUUGCUGUCUUCUUAACUCUACAGUACAAGUAAAGAAGUAUAGUUCAACAAGAGCUAUACAUUGUGAUAUUUCCCAGACUGACUUUGGCACAUAUUAGGACCUAUUCACCCCAUCAGACCCUUGAACAGAGCUAAAAUACAAACCAAAAGUAUAUUUAUAAACAAAAGAUUUGUAAAAAGAAAAACAAGCAUAGGUGGAAACAAAGUGACAAUGAUUGAUUUAAUAAAUACAUUAUGGAUAUCACAAUGACGGUGUACUGUGAGAUAAUAUUAAGGAAGUUGAGGCAAAAUGACAAGAAAUUCAUGAUGCAAAUGCUUCAGCUGUACUGAGAAGGAAGAAAUUCUCAUGUUGUUAUGUUGUGACAACUUUUAUUAGAAAGGUGCAAAAAGUAUCUCAGGCUCUUAAGUGUUACUGGAAACUUGUAUGGGGUAAAAUGCCUUACUAAGUAAUGACAACUGUGAUGAUCGGCAUCAUGAAGAACACAUUCAAAGACAAAGAGUUGCGUAUUUUCAGAUGACAGUAUCCAAUAAACUAUGUCCUGCACCACACAGGUAUAGAUCUCUGUCUGGGUGCAACACCAGUGGGGCAAAGAUUGUAUGCGUUGUACUGCAGACAGUCCUUGGUUUUUUUCAGGCACACGAAACAGAAUUUCACCUUACACCGACGACAGACCAUGCUUUUACACUGUUUUUUGUUAUGCUCCACCAGCAUACCACAGGUGGGACAGGCACGAAUGGAGGGACAGCCGUUGACCCCCUUCACACUCUCAAAGACGAUGUUCGGACAAUUCCUCAAUGUCUCCAAGGGAUCUGGGCAGUCGUCAUUGUCACAGCGGUCUGAGCGAGGAGCCGGACCUUUCCAUUCCCUCAAACACUGCCAGCAGAACCUAUAAGUCCUUCUCUUGCUAGCUGUGCACACCGGGCACUCUACGUUCAGAUUGGAGAGAUCAUUUCUCACCACACGAGACUUGCAACCAGGACACUGUGAAGAGAAGCCACAUGGAAAAUGAACGAGAUUUUUCCAAAUGCAUUGUUGUGGUCGCUGAACAACUACUUAUUGUUAAUAGGGAUUUUUGAAUCCUAAAAGCAGAACACACUUACUUGUUUGAUGUCCAAGAAAUUCUUCGCAGCAUUGUGGAAUAUUUUCUUCUCAAAUUCUUCCACUUCUUCUGGAGUCAGAAGAGCCAUCUUAGAAACCUCGUCGAAGGACCACUCAACGUUACAGUUCGUUUGGCCGCACACAAAUUCAGACUUGCCCUUUGAAAGACAAUCAAAGUAAAACCUUUAGAGGGCACUGUGUAGUAUCUGAGAUGAAAUUCAUACUUAGAAUUUUAAUAUUUACAAUAUCAACAAUGAGGUAAUGAUAUGAACUCAGAAAUAUUACAUUUUUCUGUCACUAAAUAAACAAGCUCUUCUCAGAGGAAAAUGAGGUCCCAGAGCACUGUUUGAAGCUAGAGAGGUGGCAGGGUCCGCCAUAAAUAAACAAAGUAAAACUGUAUCAAAUGCCAUUGUCCAUUGUCAUUGCCCACUGUUGCUUUCAUGGUUGUCAUUAUCAAUGUACCAUUCCCAAGAAAAUCUAGUUCUUGUAUCGUCUGUCAGCUGAGGAGUCGCAUUAGGUCUUUUAUUAUUAUUAUUUUUUAAUAUUUAAACAUGUUUUAUUAUAUAACCAGGACUGUAGCUGAGUUGCAACUGAUGUUUUUAAUCUUUACAAUAACUCAAUAAAUGUUUUUAUGAAGCAUUUUAUUGUUUCUUAACAGCAAAAUAACUAUAAAUGUGCCAUGUAUGGUGAUUAUUACUAUAAAGUGUUGUAGUUAUAAGUUAUACGUUUUUGUUUUUGUUUAAGUUAUUUUUAGCAAAUAAGUAAGUUUAAUACAAGUAGGCUAAGUCUCAUUUUCAUAGAUAUUUUUUCCUAAUUUCCUAACUGGGCAGGACAUAGAUAUGUCUAAAAAUCCUGUCUACAGCCCUGGAUGUAAUUAAAUUUUGUUUAACAAGCAGCCGCUUUCCACUCAAGAAAUGAAAGAAUUCACCAGCACGUCUGUAAGUGUCACGGUGAAGGUGCAAACAUCUGAACAUCGUACCUCGUCCAACAACCUGCGACAAUGAUCGGUGAGAGACAUCGGAGUGACAGCAUGACCGCAGCCUGGCAUCUUUGCUCUGCGAGACUUGUAGCCGAUACACAAAACUGUGAGAAACACACAAGAAAAAGGAUGCAGCUGUAAGUAAGGUGUGUAAAAAAAUAAAUGAUAAUAACAAUAAAAAAUGAAUAGUAAAGGGAAUGUGAAAUGUUAAAUUGUACUUACAGUCUAACUCAUCUUCUCCGUCUACAAAUGUAAGCGUGCGGUCCUUUGGGUCGUAGCACUUCUCCCCUGAUGUUGGCUUCGUCCCGACAUUUCCUCUCCGUCUCCUGUCCUUGCGUUUGGACAAUCUGCCUCCCAUGUCGGCUCCCGAUGCUUAACCU
rnacentral:lncRNA from 1 species